rnacentral:rRNA from 1 species
GUGGGGAAUAUUGGACAAUGGGCGAAAGCCUGAUCCAGCCAUGCCGCGUGAGUGAAGAAGGCCUUAGGGUUGUAAAGCUCUUUCAGCGGGGAAGAUAAUGACGGUACCCGCAGAAGAAGUCCCGGCUAACUUCGUGCCAGCAGCCGCGGUAAUACGAAGGGGACUAGCGUUGUUCGGAUUUACUGGGCGUAAAGCGCGCGUAGGCGGAUCGCUAAGUCAGGGGUGAAAUCCCAGGGCUCAACCCUGGAACUGCCUUUGAUACUGACGAUCUGGAGAUCGGGAGAGGUUGGUGGAAUUCCGAGUGUAGAGGUGAAAUUCGUAGAUAUUCGGAGGAACACCAGAAGCGAAGGCGGCCAACUGGCCCGAUACUGACGCUGAGGCGCGAAAGCGUGGGGAGCAAACAGGAUUAGAAACCCCGGUAGUCC